AUACGGAGGGUGCAAGCGUUACUCGGAAUCACUGGGUGUAAAGCGCGCGCAGGCGGCUAUUUAAGUUGGAUGUGAAAGCCUACGGCUCAACCGUAGAACUGCAUCCAAAACUAUUUAGCUAGAGUGUGGGAGAGGAAGAUGGAAUUAGUUGUGUAGGGGUAAAAUCCGUAGAGAUAACUAGGAAUACCAAAAGCGAAGGCAAUCUUCUGGAACACUACUGACGCUGAGGCGCGAAAGCGUGGGGAGCAAACAGGAUUAGAAACCCUAGUAGUCC
rnacentral:rRNA from 1 species